GGAUCCUUAGCUCAGCUGGUUAGAGCGUUCGGUUUACAUCCGAAAGGUCGAAGGUUCGAUCCCUUCAGGAUCCA
rfam:Microgenomates (Collierbacteria) bacterium GW2011_GWF1_44_12 TW26_C0004, whole genome shotgun sequence.